CCUACGGGAGGCAGCAGUGGGGAAUUUUGGACAAUGGGCGCAAGCCUGAUCCAGCUAUGCCGCGUGUGGGAUGACGGCCCUCGGGUUGUAAACCACUUUUGUAGAGAACGAACAGGAGCUAUCGAAUAAAUAGCUCUGCUGACGGUACUUUAAGAAUAAGCACCGGCUAACUACGUGCCAGCAGCCGCGGUAAUACGGAGGGGGCGAGCGUUAAUCGGAAGUAAUGGGCGUAAAGGGUGUGCAGGCGGCUGUGUAAGACAGAUGUGAAAUCCCCUGGCUUAACCGGGGAAGCGCAUAUGUGACUGCAUGGCUAGAGUGCGUCAGAGGGAGGUGGAAUUACACGUGUAGCAGGGAAAUGCGUAGAGAUGUGGAAGAACACCGAUGGCGAAGGCAGCCUCCUGGGACGCAACUGACGC
rnacentral:rRNA from 1 species